ensembl:lncRNA
UGCGUACUUCAGAGGAGGUGUUGGAUAUAUAAAUGGACAAAGAGUUACUUAGGAACACAUAAGUUGCCAGAUGCUGUCCUGUCGGACAUUAUUCUUCAUGUGGUCCUGGAGGAGGGUGAUGCUGCAUUAUUAAAUCUGUCUUUGGUUUGUUCCAAAUUCAGAAGUCUGGUGUAUACAGACUCAAUUUGAAAGAGGGCACACUUCUGCUGACUUGACAGUAUGUAUUUUCUUUUACAUAUUUGAUUAGAGGUUUAAAAUGGUGCUAUACCAUUCAAUUUCCCAGUUGCCAUGUCUGAAUGUUUAUCUUUGUAAUUAUGCUUUGUUUUGUAUUGUUUUUAUGCUCCUCAUCUCAAUAUACAGGUGUAACAAAAUGGAGAACAAGUCUGAGCCAUGCCAAGAAUUCUUAAAAAUGUACACACUGCAGCCCUGCGAUGAGGUUUACAAGAACUGCUUACCAGGUCACCGUAGCCACCAGAUCCAGUCUGUAUGCAGAUCAGAGGGUCACUGCAGUCACCCGGAUCCAGUAUGUAUCCAGCCCAGAUGGUGGAUCAGCACCUAGAGAGGACCUCUACAGCCCUGAAAGACAGCGGAGACAAGGACAACUAGAGCCCCAGAGAAAGAUCCCCUGUAAAGACCUUGUCUUAGACGACCACCGGGACAAGACCACAGGAAACAGAUGAUUCUUCUGCACAAUCUGACUUUGCUGCAGCCUGGAAUUGAACUGCUGGUUUCGUCUGGUCAGAGGAGAACUGGCCCCCCGACUGAGCCUGGUUUCUCCCAAGGUUUUCUCUCCUUUCUGUCACCGAUGGAGUUUUGGUUCCUCUGGUUUGCUUAGUUGGGGAUACUUCAUUUACAGCGAUAUCAUUGACUUGAUUGCAAAUGAUUGCACAGAUACGAAUUAAACUGAACUGAGCUGGAUGAUGACAUCACUGAGUUCAAUGAUGAACUGCCUUUAACUAAAAAUUUUGUUUACUAUUGUCCUUCUGCAUUAUUGACACACACUAUGCUCCUAUUUAAUACUGUAAAGUUGCUUUGACACAAUCUGUAUUAUUAAAAGCACUACAUAAAUAAAGGAGACUUGACUUGACUAUGUUGGAAGAGGAAAGCGAGGAGAGAUGCACACCCAUCCAGGGUUUUGCAGUGAUUGGUGCAAGGUGCUGGAGGAGUAACUCUGUAGAACUCAUCAGUUCUGAUCUGAGAUUCUUGUAAAUACCUCAGGAUUGUUGUUAGUGAUUCUGAUUGAUAUUUCCGUCUGCUUGCUUAUUGGAUGUAUUUUAUACUGUUUACAUUGUAUAGUACUGACUUUGACAACAUACCAAGACUGUUACAAAUUUAACAGCUACGUUAUAUAUACAUAUAUAUAAUUAUUUCUUGAAAUACUACAAUUGUAAAAAAUAUAACAGCAAAAUAUGAUUGUAAAUAAAGGUAAUUGAUGAGA